CGCGGCCUAUCAGCUUGUUGGUGAGGUAACGGCUCACCAAGGCAUCGACGGGUAGCUGGUCUGAGAGGAUGAUCAGCCACACUGGGACUGAGACACGGCCCAGACUCCUACGGGAGGCAGCAGUAGGGAAUCUUGCGCAAUGGGCGAAAGCCUGACGCAGCAACGCCGCGUGGGGGAUGAAUGCCUUCGGGUUGUAAACCCCUUUCAGCAGGGACGAAAUUGACGGUACCUGCAGAAGAAGGUCCGGCCAACUACGUGCCAGCAGCCGCGGUAAUACGUAGGGACCGAGCGUUGUCCGGAAUUAUUGGGCGUAAAGGGCUCGUAGGCGGUUCAGUAAGUCGGGUGUGAAAACUCAAGGCUCAACCUUGAGACGCCACUCGAUACUGCUGUGACUUGAGUCCGGUAGAGGAGUGUGGAAUUCCUGGUGUAGCGGUGAAAUGCGCAGAUAUCAGGAGGAACACCAGCGGCGAAGACGGCACUCUGGGCCGGUACUGACGCUGAGGAGCGAAAGCAUGGGGAGCAAACAGGAUUAGAUACCCUGGUAGUCCAUGCCGUAAACGUUGGGCACUAGGUAUGGGAUCAUAUCAACGGAUUCCGUGCCGUAGCUAACGCAUUAAGUGCCCCGCCUGGGGAGUACGG
rnacentral:rRNA from 1 species